rnacentral:lncRNA from 1 species
CCGAGAUUGUGCCACUGCACUCCAGCCUGGGUGACAGAGCGAGACUCCGUCUCAACAACAACAACAACAAUAACAAAAAUGGUAAGGGCCUGAAAAAGAAACAGGUAGCUCGGAGCAUUCAAGGAAGAUUUCUGGAAAAGGUGAUGUCUAAGUGAAAUCCUCAAGGAAAGAAAGAGCUGGCCAGGAAGAGAAGCAGGUACAGGGAAGACAACAUGCAAAGGACAGAGCAGUAAAACACAUCAGAAUUAUCUAGUGUUCGUGGAUAGAAAAAUAAUGAGGAUUGGUGAGGCCAGAGGCUGGCUGGGGCGUCUUCCGGUGCCUUUUACAUGUUUUUUGCAGCACUAGAGAGCCAUUGAAGAGUUUUAAAUAGGGAAGGUGCAUGACCAGAUGUAUUUAGACAGAUCAUUCUGACUGCAAUGUUUAAGAGUUUAAGAUAUGUUUGAAGAGCCAAGAUCUGUUAGGAGGAUACUGCAACAAAUAAAGAGGGCGUGAACUAGAGCAACCAUGGCAGAUGGAAAGGAGAGUGGAUUCAAGAAUGGAAAAAUCAGCCAGUCUCUGUGGUUCACGCCUGUCCUCCCAGCACUUUGGGAGGCCAAGACAGGAGGAUCACUUGAGCCCAGGAGUUGGGACCAACCUGGGCAGCACAGUAAGACCCAUCUCUAUAAAAAUAAAAAAAAUAAAAAAAAUAAAAAACGGAAAAAUCAGCUGGACUUGAUGGUUGACUAGUAAAGGAAGUCAAGAAUUGCUCCCAAGUUUCUGGUUUGGGUGAAGAGUAAUUCCAUUAGGGGAGGAGAAUGUUAGAAAGAAACCAGUCCGGGGUGGGGGGAAGAUGAGGCAUUCUACUGUGGCAAUUUUGACUCUGAUAUUAAUGCCUGACAGAUUCCAGCUGGAGGUCUGGGCUGGAGAAUAUAAAUUUGAUAUGUGUGUUUAGAGAAUCGGAUGGAGGCAGGAGGAACAUCAUUUGGCAGAGGGUGUUGCUAAUGUAGAUGAUAAGGAAUAAGAGCUUUGGAGCGGAAAUGGAUCUUGGUAGCAACAAUACAGAAUCUUCUGUCAUCCAUCAUAUUGUAAAUCUGGAAACCUCGUGAAGUUGGGAUCCUAACAAGAGGAGUACACACCUUGAUUUAAGGAUGGUGGCCUAAGACAGCUGCUCCAGCGUCUUCACCACCACCUGGCAGAGGAGAGAGGAGCAAUCAGAGGAGUCUGAGCCUGGGUCUGGGGAAAUCCAGCCAGUGAUGUGGAAAACGCCCAAGGCUCCAAAGGGCACGACCCCAGCCUGAAUCCAGGGAGUCCGACGGAGAGGGAAUCCCGGGAGAAGGUCCUCACCGCCUUGCCCAAUCCGUGUUCCCGCUGUAGGUUCCCGAACACAUCCUGGGAGCUGUAGGGCCGGUUCUGCUCCUGCAGGUACCUCAGGAGGAUCCCGGCGGCUACGGAGAGAAAGGCAGGGGAGGGGGCCACUCAACCGACCUCCUCACCCACUGCCCUCCCGGGUCUUCCCCGCGCCCACGCCGCCGUUACCUCCCGCCGCAGCUUCUACCCGGCCUUUACUCAUCGCCUUUCCCGCCACCCAACUCAGAAAGCCGGACGUUGUAGUUGCUCGGGGCGACGGCUCCUUCCGGCGACGGGGGCGGGCCUCGAACGGUGAUUGGCUGAAGGGGAAGCCUUCCGGAGGGGCAAAGCGACCCCUCCCGGACUCCAUAGUUCAUUUCAGGUCGGAACUUGCGCAUCCGGGCCGGACCUCAAGCCAUGGGCCUCUGCGAAGGCGCCGGCGUGCCCACGGCUAAGAAACUUCCUCUUUCUGCUCCCGGGAACGAAGGCUGUAGCAGAGAAGGCCUUCAAGUUUCGAGACCCAGUUCCAGCCGCAGCUGAGCGCUGGUGACCUUGAGUUAGGUCUAAUGUUGGGACUGGAAGACGCUUCAGACAUCCGCUGCCGCCCUGGGCAAGCGACCAGCUCAAGGUUACCCCACAGGGACGUGCUCUGGUCCCACGGUCCAGUGCUCUUUUGUCGGUUAGUUUUGUCAUUUGUAAAAUAGGAACAGUAGAUAGUAGUAGGAAAGUGGUUGUGAAAACAAUAGAAAGCUAAGCGCCUUGGUCGGGCGCAGUGGCAUGUCACCCCUGCAAUCCUAUCACUUUGGGAGGCUGAGGCGGGCGGAUCGUUUGAGCCCAGGAAUUCGAUACCAGUCUGGGCAACAUGAAACCCCAUCUCUGCA